UGGGUAACCUGCCUGUAAGACUGGGAUAACUCCGGGAAACCGGAGCUAAUACCGGAUAGUUCCUUGAACCGCAUGGUUCAAGGAUGAAAGACGGUUUCGGCUGUCACUUACAGAUGGACCCGCGGCGCAUUAGCUAGUUGGUGGGGUAAUGGCUCACCAAGGCGACGAUGCGUAGCCGACCUGAGAGGGUGAUCGGCCACACUGGGACUGAGACACGGCCCAGACUCCUACGGGAGGCAGCAGUAGGGAAUCUUCCGCAAUGGACGAAAGUCUGACGGAGCAACGCCGCGUGAGUGAUGAAGGUUUUCGGAUCGUAAAGCUCUGUUGUUAGGGAAGAACAAGUGCGAGAGUAACUGCUCGCACCUUGACGGUACCUAACCAGAAAGCCACGGCUAACUACGUGCCAGCAGCCGCGGUAAUA
rnacentral:rRNA from 2 species